rnacentral:rRNA from 1 species
AUUGAACGCUGGCGGCAGGCUUAACACAUGCAAGUCGAGCGGGGGAAGGUAGCUUGCUACCGGACCUAGCGGCGGACGGGUGAGUAAUGCUUAGGAAUCUGCCUAUUAGUGGGGGACAACAUCUCGAAAGGGAUGCUAAUACCGCAUACGUCCUACGGGAGAAAGCAGGGGAUCUUCGGACCUUGCGCUAAUAGAUGAGCCUAAGUCGGAUUAGCUAGUUGGUGGGGUAAAGGCCUACCAAGGCGACGAUCUGUAGCGGGUCUGGGAGGAUGAGCCGCCACCCUGGGACAGAGACACAGCCCCGACUCCCACGGGAGGCAGCAGUGGGGAAUAUUGGACAAUGGGGGGAACCCUGAUCCAGCCAUGCCGCGUGUGUGAAGAAGGCCUUAUGGUUGUAAAGCACUUUAAGCGAGGAGGAGGCUACUCUAGUUAAUACCUAGGGAUAGUGGACGUUACUCGCAGAAUAAGCACCGGCUAACUCUGUGCCAGCCGCCGCCGUAA